UACGGAAGGUCCGGGCGUUAUCCGGAUUUAUUGGGUUUAAAGGGAGCGCAGGCGGCUGCUUAAGCGUGCCGUGAAAUGCCGUGGCUCAACCAUGGCACCGCGGCGCGAACUGGGCGGCUUGAGUCGGCGGAAGGUGCGCGGAAUUCGUGGUGUAGCGGUGAAAUGCUUAGAUAUCACGAGGAACCCCGAUUGCGAAGGCAGCGCGCCGCAGCCGUACUGACGCUCAUGCUCGAAGGCGCGGGUAU
rnacentral:rRNA from 1 species